AAAUGUAGUUGGAAAUGAUGUGAAUGAAGCUGAAGGAAGAGAAAUUUCCAGGACUUAGCACAUAGUCGAUAGUCAAUACUGUCAAACGCUUCCAAGAGAAGCAGGCAGAGAAGCGAACGUGAGUUCCUUCCCCGGAAGUGGGCACGUCACAGAGAAGCUGCUCACCGGGAAGAAAGAACCUCGGAGAAAGCCACAUGCCUCUGCUCUUUUCCUGAUUCUGCCAUGUGCCAAACGGUCCUCGGCCUCAUGGUCCUUUGUCUCCUGGGUGCAGGCUUCCUUGAAGCAGAAGUCACCCAGACUCCCGGGCACCUGGUCAAAGGGACAGGACAGAAAGCGGAAAUGUACUGUGUCCCAAGAAAGGGACACAAUUAUGUUUGCUGGUAUCAACAGAUCCCAGCAAAAGAGUUCAAG